UACGGGGGGGGUAAGCGUUGUUCGGAAUUACUGGGCGUAAAGGGCCAGUAGGCGGCCAACUAAGUCCGACGUGAAAUCCCCAGGCUUAACCUGGGAACUGCGUCGGAUACUGGAUGGCUUGAAUUCGGGAGAGGGAUGCAGAAUUCCAGGUGUAGCGGUGAAAUGCGUAGAUAUCUGGAGGAAUACCGGUGGCGAAGGCGGCAUCCUGGACCGACAUUGACGCUGAACGGCGAAAGCUAGGGGAGCAAACGGG
rnacentral:rRNA from 1 species